AGUGAACGCUGGCGGUAGGCCUAACACAUGCAAGUCGAACGGCAGCACAGUAAGAGCUUGCUCUUACGGGUGGCGAGUGGCGGACGGGUGAGGAAUACAUCGGAAUCUACUUUUUCGUGGGGGAUAACGUAGGGAAACUUACGCUAAUACCGCAUACGACCUACGGGUGAAAGCAGGGGAUCUUCGGACCUUGCGCGAUUGAAUGAGCCGAUGUCGGAUUAGCUAGUUGGCGGGGUAAAGGCCCACCAAGGCGACGAUCCGUAGCUGGUCUGAGAGGAUGAUCAGACACACUGGAACUGAGACACGGUCCAGACUCCUACGGGAGGCAGCAGUGGGGAAUAUUGGACAAUGGGCGCAAGCCUGAUCCAGACAUACCGCGUGGGUGAAGAAGGCCUUCGGGUUGUAAAGCACUUUUGUUGGGAAAGAAAAGCAGCAGGUUAAUACCCCGCUGUUCUGACGGUACCCAAAGAAUAAGCACCGGCUAACUUCGUG
rnacentral:rRNA from 1 species